AAAUGGGUUGAUUCCAGCAUUGAUAUUUCAAUUACCAAAGUCUUUUUUCAAGGAGUAGCCGCUGUUCAUACUGAUGGCAAGGAAUGGAAGGAUCCAAAAGCAGGAAGUUGCCUAAGACAGACCCAACCAAUUCUAGGACCAACUUAUCCAGGACCAAGUCAUCCGGGAGAAGCUAUUGUAAAGAGUGUGUUAAGUGGCAUGGAAAAGCCUGUGUAUUUAUUGGACAUCACAUUGCUCACGCAGCUCAGAAAAGAUGGGCACCCCUCCAUUUAUGCAGGUGAAGGUCCCAAAUAUAAUGACUGUAGUCACUGGUGUCUUCCUGGUGCUCCUGAUACUUGGAAUGAACUUUUGUACGCAGCUUUGCUCUAGGAAUUUUCUUAUUCUUCUUUAUUUAAAUAAAUUUUCUUAUGGAUUGUCUGAUAAUAAUAAUUCGUAUUGUUAUUAUUA